rnacentral:rRNA from 1 species
UACGUAGGGUGCAAGCGUUGUCCGGAAUUAUUGGGCGUAAAGAGCUCGUAGGCGGUCUGUCACGUCUGCUGUGAAAACUCGGGGCUUAACCCCGGGCCUGCAGUGGGUACGGGCAGACUAGAGUGCGGUAGGGGAGACUGGAAUUCCUGGUGUAGCGGUGAAAUGCGCAGAUAUCGAGAGGAACACCUGCGGCGAAGGCGGGUUGCUGGGCUGACACUGACGCUGAGGCGCGAAAGCCAGGGGAGCGAACGGG